rnacentral:rRNA from 1 species
UACGAAGGGGCUAGCGUUGCUCGGAAUCACUGGGCGUAAAGGGUGCGUAGGCGGGUCUUUAAGUCAGGGGUGAAAUCCUGGAGCUCAACUCCAGAACUGCCUUUGAUACUGAGGAUCUUGAGUUCGGGAGAGGUGAGUGGAAUUCCGUAGUGUAGAGGUGAAUUCGUAGAUAUUAGGAAGAACACCGGUGGCGAAGGCGGCCCACUGGUCCGGUACUGACGCUGAGGUGCGAAAGCGUGGGAGCAAACAGGAUUG